GAUUGAACGCUGGCGGUAUGCUUAACACAUGCAAGUCGAACGGAAACGGUACUAGCUUGCUAGUAGGCGUCGAGUGGCGGACGGGUGAGUAACGCGUAGGAAUCUGCCUGAUAGUGGGGGAUAGCCCGAAGAAAUUCGGAUUAAUACCGCAUAAUCUAUUCGUAGUAAAGUGGGGGACUUUCGAGCCUCACGCUAUCAGAUGAGCCUGCGUAAGAUUAGCUUGUUGGUAGGGUAAAAGCCUACCAAGGCGACGAUCUUUAGCUGGUCUGAGAGGAUGAUCAGCCACAUCGGGACUGAGACACGGCCCGAACUCCUACGGGAGGCAGCAGUGGGGAAUAUUGGACAAUGGGGGCAACCCUGAUCCAGCAAUACCGCGUGUGUGAAGAAGGCCUGAGGGUUGUAAAGCACUUUCAAUUGUGAAGAAAAGUUAGCGGUUAAUAACCGUUAGCCUUGACGUUAACUUUAGAAGAAGCACCGGCUAACUCCGUGCCAGCAGCCGCGGUAAUACGGAGGGUGCAAGCGUUAAUCGGAAUUACUGGGCGUAAAGCGUGCGUAGGCGGUUUAUUAAGUCAGAUGUGAAAGCCCCGGGCUUAACCUGGGAACUGCAUUUGAAACUGGUCAACUAGAGUAUGGUAGAGGAAAGUGGAAUUUCUGGUGUAGCGGUGAAAUGCGUAGAUAUCAGAAGGAACAUCAAUGGCGAAGGCAGCUUUCUGGACCAAUACUGACGCUGAGGUACGAAAGCGUGGGUAGCAAACAGGAUUAGAUACCCUGGUAGUCCACGCCGUAAACGAUGAUAACUAGCCGUUGGGGGGAUUUACCCUUUAGUGGCGAAGCUAACGCGUUAAGUUAUCCGCCUGGGGAGUACGGCCGCAAGGUUAAAACUCAAAGGAAUUGACGGGGACCCGCACAAGCGGUGGAGCAUGUGGUUUAAUUCGAUGCAACGCGAAGAACCUUACCUGGUCUUGACAUCCUGCGAACUUUCUAGAAAUAGAUUGGUGCCUUCGGGAACGCAGUGACAGGUGCUGCAUGGCUGUCGUCAGCUCGUGUCGUGAGAUGUUGGGUUAAGUCCCGUAACGAGCGCAACCCCUAUCCUUAUUUGCCAGCACAUCAUGGUGGGAACUAUAAGGAGACUGCCGGUGAUAAACCGGAGGAAGGCGGGGACGACGUCAAGUCAUCAUGGCCCUUACGACCAGGGCUACACACGUGCUACAAUGGGAAGGACAAAGAGCCGCGAAGCCGCGAGGUGUAGCUAAUCUCAUAAACCUUUUCGUAGUCCGGAUUGGAGUCUGCAACUCGACUCCAUGAAGUCGGAAUCGCUAGUAAUCGUAGAUCAGAAUGCUACGGUGAAUACGUUCCCGGGUCUUGUACUCACCGCCCGUCAAGGG
rnacentral:rRNA from 1 species